GCAGAGGCGGUGCCCGCUGCCUAUAGUCGUCCUCCAUGAUGCUGAAGGGAUGCCGCAGCCGGUUUUCCUGCGAGAGGGAUAACAGACCUCAGCUGCACUUUGAGUUUCCGGUCAUUUAGUACAUGUUAGCAUGCUAACCAGCUACGCAGGGGGCGACUUCUUAGGGGCAGUCCUCAAACCAAUGGCUGACGUUGCGAUGACUGCGUCCACUUCCUGUAUACAGUCUGUGAAGGGCUUGCGGGCACAUCUCUGACCUGGUAGUCCAGGAUGCUGAAGCCCAGUCCCAACUCGCCUUUCUCCAGCUCGACCACCUGAG